AGACAAAGCUAAAGAAUGAGAGAGGGGGGAGCAAGAAGGCACUGUGGGCUGGAUGCUUCAGGAGCAGAGGAUCUAUCAACUGCAGACCAAGCUAGGGAGCUGCCGACAAACCUGGAACGGUAACCUGGCUAGCUCCGGGAGCGCCGACGGCACUCGGUGGCCCAGCAACGGGCAACAGGAAACGUGCAGUGGCCACGAGGCAAGAAAUCGACUCUGACCCGAUCAUUGACACCUGGCUUGCUGCACUCUCUCUAAUCCUUGGAAGUCUGUGGGUGCCUGUUAAGAAGCCCUCCUCCUGAACAGCUUGCACUUCUCCUACAAAGCUUGACUGAAGCAUCCAAUAGAACAUUAGCAGCCCUCCCUCAGCUGGAGUCCGUGGCUACUCUUCUGUGCCCAGAGGGCUCUACAAUCUCUCCAGCCUGGCACCUGGAUCUGUGUCAACUUGCUUUGUCCCUCCUGCAAGAGGGUCACUCCUGAAAAUGUAGAUAAUGCCUUGGACUUUACCACGCCUAGCACAGUAUCUAGUCUAUAUCGUAGAUAUUUUACUAGACGAUGAAAGGAAUAAAGAUGGGAAAAUUCAAAGGCAGAGAGCCUUUUAAAGAC